rnacentral:rRNA from 1 species
UCCUACGGGGGGCAGCAGUAGGGAAUCUUCCACAAUGGGCGAAAGCCUGAUGGAGCAAUACCGCGUGAGUGAAGAAGGUCUUCGGAUCGUAAAGCUCUGUUGUUAGAGAAGAAUAAGAGGUGUAGUAACUGGCACCUCCUUGACGGUAUCUAACCAGAAAGUCACGGCUAACUACGUGCCAGCAGCCGCGGUAAUACGUAGGUGACAAGCGUUGUCCGGAUUUAUUGGGCGUAAAGCGAGCGCAGGCGGUCUUUUAAGUCUGAUGUGAAAGCCCACGGCUCAACCGUGGAUGGUCAUUGGAAACUGGAAGACUUGAAUGCAGAAGAGGAAAGUGGAAUUCCAUGUGUAGCGGUGAAAUGCGUAGAUAUAUGGAGGAACACCAGUGGCGAAGGCGACUUUCUGGUCUGUAAUUGACGCUGAGGCUCGAAAGCGUGGGGAGCAAACAGGAUUAGAUACCCGUGUAGUC